GAUGAAGAACGUAGUGAAAUGCGAUAAGUAAUGUGAAUUGCAGAAUUCAGUGAAUCAUCGAAUCUUUGAACGCACAUUGCGCCCUAUGGUAUUCCGUAGGGCAUGCCUGUUCGAGCGUCAUUACAACCCUCAAGCUCUGCUUGGUAUUGGGCGUCGUCCCCUAAACGGACGUGCCUCAAAGACCUCGGCGGUGGCGUCUUUGCCUCAAGCGUAGUAAUAUUUUUAUCUCGCUUUGGAGUCGAAGGCGUCGCCCGCCGGACGAAACCUUUAUUUUUUCUAUCAAGGUUGACCUCGGAUCAGGUAGGGAUACCCGCUGAACUUAAGCAUAUCAAUAAGCGGAGGA
rnacentral:misc_RNA from 1 species